UGGGGAAUAUUGCACAAUGGGCGCAAGCCUGAUGCAGCCAUGCCGCGUGUAUGAAGAAGGCCUUCGGGUUGUAAAGUACUUUCAGCGGGGAGGAAGGGAGUAAAGUUAAUACCUUUGCUCAUUGACGUUACCCGCAGAAGAAGCACCGGCUAACUCCGUGCCAGCAGCCGCGGUAAUACGGAGGGUGCAAGCGUUAAUCGGAAUUACUGGGCGUAAAGCGCACGCAGGCGGUUUGUUAAGUCAGAUGUGAAAUCCCCGGGCUCAACCUGGGAACUGCAUCUGAUACUGGCGAGCUUGAGUCUCGUAGAGGGGGGUAGAAUUCCAGGUGUAGCGGUGACAUGCGUAGAGAUCUGGAGGAAUACCGGUGGCGAAGGCGGCCCCCUGGACGAAGACUGACGCUCAGGUGCGAAAGCGUGGGGAGCAAACAGG
rnacentral:rRNA from 1 species